UCCUUAUUUCCUCUUAAAAAA
rnacentral:miRNA from 1 species